rnacentral:rRNA from 1 species
GACGAACCGUACGAACGUUAUUCGGAAUUACUGGGCUUAAAGGGUGCGUAGGCGGGCAGGUAAGUCCGUGGUGAAAUCUCUUAGCUUAACUCAGAAACUGCCAUGGAUACUAUUUGUCUUGAAUAUUGUGGAGGUAAGCGGAAUAUGUCAUGUAGCGGUGAAAUGCUUAGAUAUGACAUAGAACACCAAUUGCGAAGGCAGCUUACUACACAGUUAUUGACGCUGAGGCACGAAAGCGUGGGGAUCAAACAGG